UUUGUUUGUUUGUUGGUUGGUUUGUUUAUUAAAGCAGGAUAAAUUGAUGGAAAAUCCAAUUCCAUUUACAGUUAAGAUUUAUUUUUUAAGAAUGAUAAUUAAAAAUUGCAGUAUCAGUUUUAAGCAUAUUCAUUAUCCUUGGAGACCUGUCUGUUGUUUGUUGGGCAGAACUAAUCCUGAACUGGAGGAGGAGCACAGGAGACCAACUCUGAAAGUUAGCUCCUGUUCUCCUGUAUGAGGUGAGGCAGACUGAAGUGUUCUGCACUUGCAUCCUGUUUACCUGUUUAUCCUUGACGAUCUUUCUACUUGCCUGUCAGUUAAUUAAAUUCCAGUUUAAUCCUGACCCUGAGGAAAUUCAGGGUCCAAAUGAACUGUGAGCAUGCUUCUCAGUGGGAAGCGUGAAUCAGACUAGGGAGGUCUGAAUCUGUCUCUCUGCAUUUGACACACUGAGAAGUGGCCCAUGCAACCUAACUGGUGUUGCUGGUGAAUACAGAUUUAGACCUUGUGCUGGUUUGAGAAUCAUCGGCUAGCCCCAGAAAGCUGCCUGCUGAUGUCAGUUAAGGACUGUGAAAGCUCCAUGGGGUUUUCUGUCUCUGUGUGCAAGUAUUCUCUCUAUCCAGAUUACACUUGCUGCUGAGUCAUUUUAGAUAUAGCAUACUAUAAUGCUGGCAAGGAGGUACUAUUCUUUGGAGACUCAAAACCUUUUCUGAGCAGAAGGAAGCUUACCAUAGCAUUCAUGGGUCAGCCUGAUGCCAGAAACACAAAGUGCUGGAACAUGCCGCUGACAAAUAAGUAUCUCUUCCAAUUCCUGCAGGUUUAGUAGUACUAGGUUUUCCAGGGAUGCCCUUCUUUUAGGGUGUCUUUAACUGUCCAUGUAGUAACAGCUUAGAUGGGCCUUUCUGGAGGACUUAUCUGGCCCACUAAUCUAGUGAUGAACUAGGACAUACUCAAAAGCGAGCAACAGUCAAGUGCAAACUGUUUGCAUUAAGGCUACUGGCACAUUUAUGUAUUGCACAUGAGGCAAAUGAGCAGUGAAUGUGGUGCAUAUUUAUGUGUGUGAGGACCUUUCCUAGGAAGUAUGAAGGCAGCCAGUGUGCUCUGAAGGAUUCUAGGCUUAAGUGGAUUUGUCUCAGUUGGAUCAGGGACCACAGUUUGUUCCUUGAUGUGAAUGAUAAUUCAUCAGCAUGGAGAUGAUAACUGAAGAUGUGUCAGCUGAUGAAAUUGCUUGGAGAGAGAACAUAAUGUAAGAUGAGCAAAAGGCUAUAGGCACUGCCCUGGGGAAUAAUGAGAGAGUGGGAAAAGAGUAAAAAGGCUCAUAAAAAAGCUCAUGAAAAGAUGAACUGGAAGAACAUUCUUGAAAAGAAUUGGAGAAGAAAAAAUUAUCUUCAAGCCUAGUGGGUGUAAAAUGCCAAGAAGGCAUAAAUGAUCGAUGGCAUCAAAAAUAAGAAGAAGGCAGAAGAGAAAGAAAAGAGAGAUGGGAGAUGAAGGACAGUGAGAUUAUGUAUGACAGGGAACAGCAAGAGUAGGCUGCUCCACAAGGGAAGACCAUCUGAGAGAUGAUGAUGACAGCGAGAUAGUCAGGGCAGUAUCUUCCCUUUCAAGGGCACAAUCGUGCAGCAGUUGGGCAAGGCAAGCAGAGUUGGUCUGGUUAUGGUAGCUAGGAUCACCUAACAGUCCAGAUCACAAGGUAAGAAAGGAUAUGAGCUAAAAAGGAUUUUAGCUGCAAGUCUGGAAGGUGAAGUGAAAGACCUGCAGCAAAAGGAGACUUACGUAGCAGAUCAGUUAAGCAUACGUGGUUCGGAGGGUGAGUCCCUAUGUGUACAUUCAUCUGUAUGUACAGACAGUAAAAAUUCUGUCUUUGAUAGUCAGUCCUAUAAUGAACACUUAAAUAUAUAUAUAUAUGCUAAACUGAAAAUAUGUAUUGUUAUUUGUGUCUGAUUUGGAAUAUGUUAGAUGAUGCUAUUUCUUAGUCAUAGAGAAAAGUGAACAAAUGUUCUGAACUGAUGUAUACUCUGUGAAAGACAAUUAGCCUUAUGAGUAUUCUGCCCUAUCAAAAUAGGCAAACAAAUCAGGAGAUUGUAUAUUCUUUUUUGACAGAUAUCUCAGUCUGCUUCUGCCAAAUUCAGUACUUAAUUAAAUGACCUGAAAAAUAUAGUUUAUGAUCUAAAUAUAUAUUUAAGUAAUUUUAACACUUUAGUUUACCUGAAAGUUUUCAGUAAGUUUUAAAAUAUGAUUUCGUGAUUUUGCAGCCAAGUUCCUUGAAG